GAACGGGUGAGUAACACGUGAGCAACCUGCCCUAGGCUUUGGGAUAACCCCGGGAAACCGGGGCUAAUACCGAAUAGGACCUUCGGUCGCAUGACUGUUGGUGGAAAGUUUUUCGGCCUGGGAUGGGCUCGCGGCCUAUCAGCUUGUUGGUGGGGUGAUGGCCUACCAAGGCGACGACGGGUAGCCGGCCUGAGAGGGCGACCGGCCACACUGGGACUGAGACACGGCCCAGACUCCUACGGGAGGCAGCAGUGGGGAAUAUUGCACAAUGGGCGGAAGCCUGAUGCAGCGACGCCGCGUGAGGGAUGACGGCCUUCGGGUUGUAAACCUCUUUCAGCAGGGACGAAGCGUAAGUGACGGUACCUGCAGAAGAAGCGCCGGCCAACUACGUGCCAGCAGCCGCGGUAAGACGUAGGGCGCGAGCGUUGUCCGGAUUUAUUGGGCGUAAAGAGCUCGUAGGCGGCUUGUCGCGUCGACUGUGAAAACCCGCAGCUCAACUGCGGGCCUGCAGUCGAUACGGGCAGGCUAGAGUUCGGUAGGGGAGACUGGAAUUCCUGGUGUAGCGGUGAAAUGCGCAGAUAUCAGGAGGAACACCGGUGGCGAAGGCGGGUCUCUGGGCC
rnacentral:rRNA from 1 species